UGCUGCUGAACUCAGCAGGCUAAUCAUGCUUUACCUAUCCAUGCAGAGAAUGAAAUGUUCAUUAGAUGACUUUAACAACCAAAUGUGAUGAAUCUCAUCAACCAGGGAAGAUCAGCUUGUAUCACAGGAGAGGAAGCUAGAGGUCCACACUAUGCCCAGACAGACUUUGUCACAGGCUUUCACGUAUUUUUCUGCGGGCCUAUUCAUCUUGACAAAAUCAUUUACUGUCUUCUAAGUUGCCUACUCCUCCCCUUCA